AAAUUGCCUCCUAAGUUUUGCAACUAUAGCAGUUUUGGCCUCCAAGGCCAUUUUUUGGUAAAAAAAAUAACACGUGGCACCUCACUUAAGGUGUCACGUCAGCAUAGAUCAAGUCAAAAUUGACCUUGGGGGCCAAAACUGCCACAGAUGUAAAACUUAGGAGACGGCUU
rnacentral:pre_miRNA from 1 species